rnacentral:misc_RNA from 1 species
GAUGAAGAACGUAGCGAAAUGCGAUACGUAAUGUGAAUUGCAGAUUUCAGUGAAUCAUCGAAUCUUUGAACGCACAUUGCGCCCGCUAGUAUUCUGGCGGGCAUGCCUGUUCGAGCGUCAUUUCAACCAUCAAGCCCUAGGCUUGUGUUGGAGCCCUGCGGCUGCCGCAGACUCCCAAAUCCAGUGGCGGGCUCGUCGUCGUACCGAGUGCAGUAAACAUCCUCGCUCAGGGAACGUGACGGGUUCUUGCCGUGAAACCCCCCACAUAUCAAGGUUGACCUCGGAUCAGGUAGGAAUACCCGCUGAACUUAAGCAUAUCAAUAAGCGGAGGA